rnacentral:lncRNA from 1 species
UCAAGGCUUUGUGGGAGACCCUCUGGAAAGCACUUAAGGCUUUAUCUCCCAUUAGCAGCCCAGAUACAUUUUUUAUCAGACCAACCCUCAAAGUAUCAGGGUCUUGAAGAAAUAACACAUUAGGUGGGAAUGCUUUGAUAGAGCAAGACAUUCUGAAUGUUAGACCCUGCCCAUGACAGUUAGAAGGCAGAAGAUGCCAUAGGGAUGGCAGUUGGCCUAGAGCAGCCAGAGAAGAAAGUAGAUGUCCUUGAAGUGCCUAAUAGGGGUAGGCAGAUUCUUCUCAAGAAUCUGUGGGGCCUAGGCCCCCUGUUCUGGCUUUGACUUUUACCUGAUUUUACUUAUUUACAUUCUCAUAACUUGCCCUAGGAGCCAAAUUCUUGGCUAAAGGGUAGUUUGAGUGCAGAGGAAGCUAAUAGAUUGAGGAAUGAGAAGAAGUUACAACUCACUCAGUGUGUGUCCUUGGGAAGGUCACUCAGCUGCUUUGAG